rnacentral:rRNA from 1 species
GACAGAGGGUGCAAACGUUUGUUCGGAAUUACUGGGCGUAAAGCGAGUGUAGGCGGUGUGGUAAGUCGGAUGUGAAAGCCCCGGGCUCAACCCGGGAAGUGCACUCGAUACUGCCACGCUAGAGUAUCGGAGAGGUUGGUGGAAUUCUCGGUGUAGAGGUGAAAUUCGUAGAUAUCGGGAGGAACACCGGUGGCGAAGGCGGCGAUCUGGGUCGAUACUGACGCUGAGGCACGGAAAGCGUGGGGAGCAAACAGG